rnacentral:rRNA from 1 species
UACGGGGGGGGCAAGCGUUGUUCGGAAUUACUGGGCGUAAAGGGCGCGUAGGCGGGCUGACAAGUCUGGGGUGAAAUCCCGCGGCUCAACCGUGGAACUGCCUUAGAUACUGUCGGCCUCGAGGAAGGUAGGGGCAUGCGGAACUGUAGGUGGAGCGGUGAAAUGCGUUGAUAUCUACAGGAACUCCGGUGGCGAAAGCGGCGUGCUGGACCUUUUCUGACGCUGAGGCGCGAAAGCUAGGGGAGCAAACGGG